rnacentral:lncRNA from 1 species
CUUCUCAUCUGCAUGCCAUCACUGUAACGAGCCACCAAGCCCCAAGGCCCCCUCUUUGGAAUCUCGCAAUCUCUCUUUGAGAUCUCGCAAUCUCUUGAGAUCUCGCAAGGCUGAUUUGUUAUCGUAGUCGUGUUCUUAACGUAGUGCUGUUAUCGCGUUGUUGACGUAGCGUUCCUAUUCACCAGAACCAGAACCUACAUAUUCAC